rnacentral:tRNA from 1 species
GCGGGUAUAGUUUAGUGGUAGAAUGGCUGCUUCCCAAGCAGCAGACGCGAGUUCGAUUCUCGCUACCCGCACCA